UCCAUGAGAGCCUUAUCUCCCUGCAGUUCUCACCUGGUUUCCCACUGAAGCUAAGCAGGGUUGAGCCUGGCCAGUACCUGGAUGGGAGACCUCCUGGGUAAAAGUAAGGUUGCUGCUGGAA
ensembl:rRNA 5S_rRNA 5S ribosomal RNA